rnacentral:rRNA from 1 species
UGGGUUCAGAACGUCGUGAGACAGUUCGGUCCAUAUCCGGUGCAGGCGUAAGAGCAUUGAGAGGAGCCUUCCUUAGUACGAGAGGACCGGGAAGGACGCACCGCUGGUGUACCAGUUAUCGUGCCAACGGUAAACGCUGGGUAGCCAAGUGCGGAGCGGAUAACCGCUGAAAGCAUCUAAGUGGGAAGCCCACCUCAAGAUGAGUGCUCUCACCACUAAAAGUGGGUAAGGUCACGGGAAGAACACCCGUUCUUAGGCGGUAGGUGGAAGUGCAGCAAUGUAUGUAGCCGAGCCGUGCUAACAGACCGAGGGCUUGACCUCAAA